CGGCCGCGGUAUCCUNACCGUGCAAASSUAGCAUAAUCAUUUGUUCCYUAAUUAGGGACUCGUAUGAAUGGCCCCACGAGGGUUUAACUGUCUCUUACUUUCAAUCAGUGAAAUUGACCUUCCCGUGAAGAGGCGGGAAUAAGAAAAUAAGACGAGAAGACCCUAUGGAGCUUAAAUUAGAUAGUCCAACAAAAUCCAAACUUAAUCCAACAGGAAUAAUAAUAUUUUAACUGGACAACAAAUUUUGGUUGGGGUGACCUCGGAGUAUAAUAAAACCCCCGAGCUAUUUUUCCAAGACUUACCCGUCAAGGUAGUUUAAUUUAUUGAUCCAAUCAUAUUGAUCAACGAAACAAGUUACCCUAGGGAUAACAGCGCAAUCCUAUUUAAGAGUCCAUAUCGACAAUAGGGUUUACGACCUCGAUGUUGGAUCAGGACCCCCAAAUGGUGCAGCAGCUAUUAAAGGUUCGUUU
rnacentral:rRNA from 1 species